GACGAACGCUGGCGGCGUGCUUAACACAUGCAAGUCGAACGGACCUGUUUUUGAAGCGCUUCGGCGUGGAGGGAGCGGGUUAGUGGCGCACGGGUGAGUAAUGCGCGAGGACCUGCCCGCGGGAGGGGGACAGCAGUUGGAAACGGCUGGUGAUACCCCGUAAGCCGGGAGGUGAAAGGGCGUUUACGCCCGCCUGCGGAUGGACUCGCGUCCUAUCAGCUAGUUGGUGAGGCAACGGCUCACCAAGGCGACGACGGGUAGCCGGCCUGAGAGGGUGACCGGCCACACUGGAACUGAGACACGGUCCAGACUCCUACGGGAGGCAGCAGUGGGGAAUUUUGGGCAAUGGGGGAGACCCUGACCCAGCGACGCCGCGUGAGGGACGAAGGCCCUUGGAUCGUAAACCUCUUUUGCAGGGGAAGAAGCGAUUGACGGUACCUUGCGAAUAAGUCCCGGCUAACUACGUG
rnacentral:rRNA from 1 species